GUGCUUGCUUCGGCAGCACAUAUACUGAAAUUGGAACGAAACAGAAGAUUAGUACGGCCCCUGCACAAGGAUGACACGUAAAUUCAUGAAGCAUUUCAUAUUAAA
ensembl:snRNA U6 U6 spliceosomal RNA